UUUUUGCUGACUAAAAAAGAUAUUAAAUAAAUCUCGCUCACUUUUGCAAAAGGUACAUAAGAAACCCAUGGCGCAAUGUUUGUUUUGAAAAAUUAAUCUAGAAAUCAGGAUCAUAAAUAAAACGAACGAACCAUGACAUUAAAACUUUGCAGCCGACGCUCAUGAAACGAACGCACCAUGAUACCGAAUCUGUGCAGCCGACGCUCAUGAAACGAACGCACUAUGAUUGAGCGAGCUGUCAACUUUUUCAAUCGCGCGCGUGUUCAAUCCUGAAUGUGUUGGCGCAGUUUGCGUGCGCGUGUGCUUGUAAAAAACAACUUCCGGCGUCAAAUCCGCCGGGGGACCGAACCAGAACAGCUCCAGGAUGGCAGAAUUUUAAUAUUUGGGGACUUCUUCCAAUUUACGGGAUUCAACGCUACGGACGGAGGCGCUCGAUUGGGAAAAGGAGGCCCAGCGCCAGCUGCGGACUUUCCCGGCCGCCGUCAAGGUGUAGCCUUCUAGACGGAGCACAACACGCAAGGUGCUGAACGCGUUCCCGCGGUGUUGGUUGGAUAGUUCUGCCGAGUGAUGAACUCAGGGACUUUCUCGAUCCUGUAUUAGGUGUGAGCCAAGUAAUGCUGCAGGGGAGUUUCAGUUCGGCCGCAAUCAUCCGAAGACAGAGGAACACCAUCGCCCAUGGGUCACUUGAUCACCAAUAGAACACUCCCAGCACAAACAGGCUGCUUGUUUGAAUCACCGAAUCGAUCUGGCGUUUGCUGGUGGUGCGCUACUACAGAUGCAGAAGGAGUGCGAAAAGGGUAGAAGGAGUUCGUGUGAAGAUUCAGCAUGCAAAAGGUCAAAAUCAACCGUGAGCGAACGUGGCAUCUUCAGCGACGGUGGAAGGAUUGCCGUGGCGGAGGAAAAUUUAAGAAACCAUGAUUUGUCACACACACACACACACACACACACACACACACACACACACAUACACAUACAAACGUACACAGCUUUCUGGGCCAGCAAAAAAAGUACAGUAUAAUUUAGUGAAGAGAAAAAAAUAAAUAAAAUGAAAAUACAAUGGAACAUACUGUAGUUAUUAUUUAUUUCACUGUCCGAAUAUAGUUUUUACAGUACCAUUUAGUAGGGAAAAAACCAUGAAGAACUGAAGAUUGACCGUGCAAUCCAUUGUAAUGCUUGCUGUUUUUAUUAUUAAUGUAUGAUGUUUUCUAUAGUCAGGACGAGUUUUUGGAUGAAAAAUGCAACAUUAGAUUAACAGUAAAAUGCGUCGUAUUUGGAAAAAAAAUGUAUGGAAAAAUUUCGAAAUUUUUAUGGUACCGGUGCAUAACAACCCCCCUUUUUUAUGGUAAAAUCCCAAAAUACGACGCAAAUUAUCUUAAAAAACGAUGCUGUCUACUGUUAAAACACUGCCAAAAUGACAAUAUAUUUUAUUGUUUUGUAACGUUAAAAUUUACUGUAAGUUCAUCAGAAAUCUUUAUGCGGGCGACUCAACAAUAGGGAAGAUUUC